rnacentral:rRNA from 1 species
AGGACGAACGCUGGCGGCGUGCUUAACACAUGCAAGUCGAACGGUGAAGCCUUUCGGGGUGGAUCAGUGGCGAACGGGUGAGUAACACGUGGGCAAUCUGCCCUGCAUUCUGGGACAAGCCUUGGAAACGAGGUCUAAUACCGGAUACGACGCAUCUCCGCAUGGGGUGUGCGUGGAAAGCUCCGGCGAUGCAGGAUGAGCCCGCGGCCUAUCAGCUUGUUGGUGGGGUAAUGGCCUACCAAGGCGACGACGGGUAGCCGGCCUGAGAGGGCGACCGGCCACACUGGGGACUGAGACACGGCCCAGACUCCUACGGGAGGCAGCAGUGGGGAAUAUUGCACAAUGGGCGAAAGCCUGAUGCAGCGACGCCGCGUGAGGGAUGACGGCCUUCGGGUUGUAACCUCUUUCAGCAGGGAGAAGCGCAAGUGACGGUACCUGCAGAAGAAGCACCGGCUAACUACGUGCCAGCAGCCGCGGUAAU